rnacentral:rRNA from 1 species
AGUUGUUUGGGAAUGCAGCUCAAAAUGGGUGGUAAAUGCCAUCUAAGGCUAAAUAUUGGGGAGAGACCGAUAGCGAACAAGUACAGUGAUGGAAAGAUGAAAAGAACUUUGAAAAGAGAGUUAAACAGUACGUGAAAUUGCCAAAAGGGAAGGGUAGGAGGUCAGAGAUGCGGCCUGGGAUUCAGCCUUGCUUUUGCUUGGUGUUUUUCCCAGAUUGCAGGCCAACGUCGGUUUUGGGCACUGGAGAAGGGUAGGAGGAACGUGGCACCUCUCGGGGUGUGUUAUAGCCUCCUNCUGNAUACAGCGACCGAGACCGAGGACAGCAGCGUACUCG